rnacentral:lncRNA from 13 species
AUGGAACCCUAUGUCCUAUGUAACACACAGCUUUUGACCAGGGCUCUACAGGACUCCCAUAGGGCUCCACAUGGCUCCAGAGGGCUCUACAGGACUCCCAUAGGGCUCUACAGGACUCUACAGGACUCCCAUAGGGCUCCACAUGGCUCCAGAGGGCUCUACAGGACUCCCAUAGGGCUCCACAUGGCUCCAAUAGGGCUCUACAGGACUCUACAGGGCUCCCAUAGGGCUCUACAGGACUCCCAUAGGGCUCUACAGGACUCCCAUAGGGCUCCACAUGGCUCCAGAGGGCUCUACAGGACUCCCAUAGGGCUCUACAGGACUC